rnacentral:piRNA from 1 species
UAACCAGGACCUAUUAACUCACUCU